rnacentral:rRNA from 1 species
UACGGGGGGGAGCAAGCGUUUGUUCGGAUUUACUGGGCGUAAAGCGCGCGUAGGCGGACCUGCAAGUCGGGGGGUGAAAGCCCGAGGCUCAACCUCGGAACUGCCUUCGAUACUGCGGGUCUCGAGUCCGGGAGAGGUGAGUGGAAUUCCUAGUGUAGAGGUGAAAUUCGUAGAUAUUAGGAAGAACACCAGUGGCGAAGGCGGCUCACUGGCCCGGUACUGACGCUGAGGCGCGAAAGCGUGGGGAGCAAACAGG